GAUGAACGCUGGCGGCGUGCCUAAUACAUGCAAGUCGAGCGAACAGACGAGGAGCUUGCUCCUCUGACGUUAGCGGCGGACGGGUGAGUAACACGUGGAUAACCUACCUAUAAGACUGGGAUAACUUCGGGAAACCGGAGCUAAUACCGGAUAAUAUAUUGAACCGCAUGGUUCAAUAGUGAAAGACGGUUUUGCUGUCACUUAUAGAUGGAUCCGCGCCGCAUUAGCUAGUUGGUAAGGUAACGGCUUACCAAGGCAACGAUGCGUAGCCCACCUGAGAGGGUGAUCGGCCACACUGGAACUGAGACACGGUCCAGACUCCUACGGGAGGCAGCAGUAGGGAAUCUUCCGCAAUGGGCGAAAGCUUGACGGAGCAACGCCGCGUGAGUGAUGAAGGUCUUCGGAUCGUAAAACUCUGUUAUUAGGGAAGAACAAAUGUGUAAGUAACUAUGCACGUCUUGACGGUACCUAAUCAGAAAGCCACGGCUAACUACGUG
rnacentral:rRNA from 1 species